CCCCUUGCGCAGUGGCAAUAUCGUAACCAAUGAAGGCUUCUUGAGGUGCGAUUACUGCUAUUGCCACUCUACUGAGUAAAGUUUCUUACGCAAAUUGCGGUAAGUAGAAAUUUUGUGAGCUUUUCACACGG
rnacentral:snRNA from 1 species